UGGGGAAUAUUGCACAAUGGACGGAAGUUUGAUGCAGCGACGCCGCGUGGAGGGUGUAGGCCUUCGGGUUGUGAACUCCUUUUUCUCGCGAAAAAGGCACAGUUUUGGCUGUGUUGAUGGUAGUGGGGGAAGAAGCGCCGGCUAACUACGGGCCAGCAGCCGCGGUAAUACGUAGGGCGCGAGCGUUGUCCGGAUUUAUUGGGCGUAAAGAGCUCGUAGGUGGUUCGUCGCGUCUGUCGUGAAAGCCAGCAGCUUAACUGUUGGUCUGCGGUGGGUACGGGCGGGCUUGAGUGCGGUAGGGGUGACUGGAAUUCCUGGUGUAGCGGUGGAAUGCGCAGAUAUCAGGAGGAACACCGAUGGCGAAGGCAGGUCACUGGGCCGUUACUGACACUGAGGAGCGAAAGCGUGGGGAGCGAACAGG
rnacentral:rRNA from 1 species